GAUGAACGCUGGCGGCGUGCCUAACACAUGCAAGUCGAGCGAACAGACGAGGAGCUUGUUCCUUUGACGUUAGCGGCGGACGGGCGAGUAACACGUGGAUAACCCACCUAUAAGACUCGGAUAACUUCGGGAAACCGGAGCUAAUACCGGAUAACAUUUUUAACCGCAUGGUUCAAUAGUGAAAGACGGUUUUUUUGUCAGUUAUAGAUGGAUCCGCGCCGCAUUAGCUAGUUGGUAAGGUAACGGCUUACCAAGGCAACGAUGCGUAGCCGAUCUGAGAGGGGGAGCAGCCACACUAGAACUGAGACGCGGCCCAGACUCCUACGGGAGGCGACGGAGGGGAAACUACCACAGUGGGCGGAGGCCUAGCGGGACAACGCCGCGUAGGGGAUAAGAGUCUUCGGAUCGUAGUUCUCUGUUGUUAGGAAAAGACAAAAGUGUGAGUAACGAGGCACGUCUUGACGGUACCUAAUGAAAAAGCCACGGCUAACUACGUG
rnacentral:rRNA from 1 species